rnacentral:rRNA from 1 species
AGAGUUUGAUCCUGGCUCAGGACGAACGCUGGCGGCAUGCCCAAUACAUGCAAGUCGAACGAGCUGACGGAGUGCUUGCACUCCCGACGCGAGUGGCGGACGGGUGAGUAACACGUGGGAAACCUACCUGUAAGUAGGGGAUAACAUUCGGAAACGGAUGCUAAUACCCUAUAGGUUUCAGUUCCGCAUGGAACUGAAAGGAAAGACGGCUCUGCUGUCGCUUACAGAUGGUCCCGCGGCGCAUUAGCUAGUUGGUGGGAUAAAAGCUCACCAAGGCUGUGAUGCGUAGCCGACCUGAGAGGGUAACCGGCCACACUGGGACUGAGACACGGCCCAGACUCCUACGGGAGGCAGCAGUAGGGAGUCUUCCGCAAUGGACGAAAGUCUGACGGAGCAAUGCCGCGUGAAUGAAGAAGGUCUUCGGAUCGUAAAAUUCUGUUGUUAGAGAAGAACAAGGAGUAACUAACUACUACUCCCUUGACGGUAUCUAACCAGAAAGCCACGGCUAACUACGUGCCAGCAGCCGCGGUAAUACGUAGGUGGCAAGCGUUGUCCGGAUUUAUUGGGCGUAAAGGGAGCGCAGGCGGUGACUUAAGUCUGAUGUGAAAGCCCACGGCUCAACCGUGGAAGGUCAUUGGAAACUGGGUCACUUGAAUAUAGAAGAGGAAAGUGGAAUUCCAUGUGUAGCGGUGAAAUGCGUAGAUACAUGGAGGAACACCAGUGGCGAAGGCGACUUUCUGGUCUAUUAUUGACGCUGAGGCUCGAAAGCAUGGGUAGCAAACAGGAUUAGAUACCCUGGUAGUCC